UACGUAGGUGACAAGCGUUGUCCGGAUUUACUGGGCGUAAAGGGUGCGCAGGCGGUUUUGUAAGUCUGACGUGAAAUCCCCGGGCUCAACCUGGGAAUUGCGUUGGAGACUGCAAGGCUGGAGUCUGGCAGAGGGGGGUAGAAUUCCACGUGUAGCAGUGAAAUGCGUAGAGAUGUGGAGGAACACCGAUGGCGAAGGCAGCCCCCUGGGUCAAGACUGACGCUCAUGCACGAAAGCGUGGGGAGCAAACAGG
rnacentral:rRNA from 1 species